GACGGGCCCCGCACAAGCAGCGGAGCGUGUGGUUUAAUUCGAUGCUACACGAAGAACCUUACCAGGGUUUGACAUACAAGUAGUAGGGAAAGGAAACUGGACCGACCCUUCGGGGAGCUUGAACAGGUGCUGCAUGGCUGUCGUCAGCUCGUGUCGUGAGAUGUUCGGUUAAGUCCGCUAACGAGCGCAACCCUCGCUGUGUGUUACAAGUGUCACACGGAACUGCCGGUCAUAAACCGGAGGAAGGUGGGGAUGACGUCAAGUCAGCAUGGCCUUUAUAUCCUGGGCUACACACGCGCUACAAUGGGAAGGGACAAUAGGUUGCGAAACCGCGAGGUGGAGCCAAUCCAGCAAAACUUCCCUCAGUUCAGAUUGCAGGCUGCAACUCGCCUGCAUGAAGUUGGAGUUGCUAGUAAACGCAGGUCAGCCAUACUGCGUUGAAUACGUUCCCGGGGCUU
rnacentral:rRNA from 1 species